UGUCCGUGUACGUCGAUUUCGAAAACUGCAAAGCGGAGAUUUCUAAAGAUUUGCGAACGUACUUUGCUCAUACUCUUAUGUCAUUUCAACACCUCCCAUUUUUCGAAUUCUACAAAUAUUGGUAUAAAAAUAUGAAAAAUAUGAAGCAGAGUCUCAAAUCGUAGUCGGACAAACUUCUCCAAAGCGAAAGGGAAAACUAAAUCCAUACAACUGCCUGGCUCUUGAGCCCGAAUUGCCCUUGCCUUGUUAUCUGAAUAACUUGGGUCACUUAGACAACCUAUUUACUAAUGAAACGCUCGACGAUUACAAGCAUCAUGGGAACACAAGGAAAAGAGCGUGCAGACUAGGAAGGAUCGUACCUAGCAUUGUUACAGCUACAGAAAGUACUUAUUAUGUGAGAUCCGCACCUCAGUGGUCAACGGAAACAUAAAAUUUGGAGUUGGAUUUGCUGCUGCGCGCAAAGGUCGUGGAGGAGGAUGCGCCAUCGGUAUUGUAUGACGCCCACUGCGCCAGGAGAUUCAGGAAGCGCUGUCAGGCGAUCGCCGAUUGGUUUGCAUCAUUAUGAUGUAUAAUACAGAUGUACAUAAAAGAAUGCAUGUACAUAUAACGCAUAGACACAAGUAUAUAUGUGAUUUCGUAUUAUAUUAUUACAAUAUUGUUUUUGUUUCAUGAAAGUAAAAGAUAAACCCAAAAAUA